AGGGAGCCGUCGAAGGUGGGGCUGGCGAUUGGGACGAAGUCGUAACAAGGUAGCCGUACCGGAAGGUGCGGCUGGAUCACCUCCUUU
rnacentral:rRNA from 1 species